AAGACCUUGCGCUUUUGGAGCGGCCGAUGCCUGAUUAGCUUGUUGGUAAGGUAAAGGCUCACCAAGGCUUCGAUCAGUAGCUGGUCUGAGAGGACGGCCAGCCACACUGGGACUGAGACACGGCCCAGACUCCUACGGGAGGCAGCAGUGGGGAAUUUUGGACAAUGGGGGAAACCCUGAUCCAGCCAUGCCGCGUGAGUGAAGAAGGCCUUCGGGUUGUAAAGCUCUUUCAGCCGGAACGAAACGGUUACGGAUAAUACCCGUGACUACUGACGGUACCGGAAGAAGAAGCACCGGCUAACUACGUGCCAGCAGCCGCGGUAAUACGUAGGGUGCGAGCGUUAAUCGGAAUUACUGGGCGUAAAGCGUGCGCAGGUGGUUUUGUAAGUCAGAUGUGAAAGCCCCGGGCUCAACCUGGGAACU
rnacentral:rRNA from 1 species